GACGAACGCUGGCGGCGUGCUUAACACAUGCAAGUCGAACGGAAAGGCCUCUUUCGGGGGGUACUCGAGUGGCGAACGGGUGAGUAACACGUGAGUAACCUGCCCUUGACUUUGGGAUAACUUCAGGAAACUGGGGCUAAUACCGGAUAGGAGCUCCUGCUGCAUGGUGGGGGUUGGAGAGUUUCGGCGUUUGGGGAUGGACUCGCGGCUUAUCAGCUUGUUGGUGGGGUAGUGGCUUACCAAGGCUUUGACGGGUAGCCGGCCUGAGAGGGUGACCGGCCACCUUGGGACUGAGGUACGGCCCAGACUCCUACGGGAGGCAGCAGUGGGGAAUAUUGCACAAUGGGUGGAAGCCUGAUGCAGCAACGCCGUGUGCGGGAUGACGGCCUUCGGGUUGUAAACCGCUUUCGCUCAUGACGAAGCUUUGUGUGACGGUAGUGGGUAAAGAAGCACCGGCUAACUACGUA
rnacentral:rRNA from 1 species